GAUUAAAAGUGGGUGGUUAAAGACAUAUAAAGUGAUAUGGUCUAGUUCAACAACUGCCUGUAUUUUUGGAAUACUGAAGAACAGUCUGUUGUAACAGGUUAAACCCCAUGGAAAGAAUGUGCAUCAUCGCAUCGCCUGCCAAAAAAGGAAGCAAAAGAGAGACUACCUGAUGUAUGGACUUGAAUACCAGGUUUUACCCUGCACAAGCUGGCCGACAUGAGUAGAACAGGAGUGGGAAAACCGCGCCCUCUCCUUGACCAAGAAAAGCUGGAUUUGUUUAGAGGACCUGAUCAAAUGAGAUCAUGCACGAGACGCAUCACGCAAAGGCCAUGACAGUAUAAUAGUUGCAAAGAAGUUUGACCGGCUGGUGGAAGACUUGGAGAGAAAGAUGAGAGCUGCACUCCGCUGCCUCAAAGAAACGUGAAAGGCCUUGAUUGAUAUGCAUCUUUCUUAUGUAUAUAGCUGUUCGUGUGUAUAUACUGUACAUGUUAUUAUAGUAUGCUAUUAUUUUUUGUUUAUUUAUAAUCAAAUUAUGUUUAUAUUUAUUUCAUCAAAUUGCCAUUGAUAUUUAAUUACUCAUGUAUGUUAAAAAUGUUGGUGUACAUUAAAGUAUAAAAUUGAAUUAUCUUGUAAUUAUUAAAAUACACAAAUAUAUAUGUUUAUAUAAUUAUUGGUUUUUAUUGCAUAUCUGAAUUAAAAAAAACUUUUAAAAGCAUAUAAUUGAAUCAACUGUUAAGGCAAAAGAUGCACCUUUAACGCACAUGUGUGCUUUUUGUGAGUGCGUUUUUUGCUGCCAUUCAUGUGCGUAAAUUGUGCGUUUUGUGUGGGUUAUAACUGCGCUUAACGUGCGUUAAAUGUGCGCUUUUUGUGAGUUAAAU